rnacentral:rRNA from 1 species
GAGCGGCGAACGGGUGAGUAACACGUGGGCAACCUGCCCUCAGCUCUGGGAUAACUCCGGGAAACCGGGGCUAAUACCGGAUAUGACCUUUCAUCUCAUGGUGUUUGGUGGAAAGUUUUUCGGCUGAGGAUGGGCCCGCGGCCUAUCAGCUUGUUGGUGGGGUAAUGGCCUACCAAGGCGACGACGGGUAGCCGGCCUGAGAGGGCGACCGGCCACACUGGGACUGAGACACGGCCCAGACUCCUACGGGAGGCAGCAGUGGGGAAUAUUGCGCAAUGGGCGAAAGCCUGACGCAGCGACGCCGCGUGAGGGAUGAAGGCCUUCGGGUUGUAAACCUCUUUCAGCAGGGACGAAGCGAAAGUGACGGUACCUGCAGAAGAAGCACCGGCCAACUACGUGCCAGCAGCCGCGGUAAUACGUAGGGUGCAAGCGUUGUCCGGAAUUAUUGGCGUAAAGAGCUCGUAGGCGGUUUGUCGCGUCGGCUGUGAAAUCUCGGGGCUCAACCCCGAGCCUGCAGUCGAUACGGGCAGACUAGAGUGCUGUAGGGGAGACUGGAAUUCCUGGUGUAGCGGUGAAAUGCGCAGAUAUCAGGAGGAACACCGGUGGCGAAGGCGGGUCUCUGGGCAGUAACUGACGCUGAGGAGCGAAAGCGUGGGGAGCAAACAGGAUUAGAUACCCUGUAGUCCACGCCGUAAACGGUGGGUGCUAGUGUGAGCGGUA